UGACCGGUGUGCUCAGUGGUUAGAGCGUCGGCCUGCACGCCGAAGGGUCAUGGGUUCAAUUCCCGGUCAG
rnacentral:tRNA from 1 species